AGCGAACGCUGGCGGCAGGCUUAACACAUGCAAGUCGAACGCCCCGCAAGGGGAGUGGCAGACGGGUGAGUAACACGUGGGAACGUACCUUUUGGUUCGGAACAACACAGGGAAACUUGUGCUAAUACCGGAUAAGCCCUUACGGGGAAAGAUUUAUCGCCAAAAGAUCGGCCCGCGUCUGAUUAGCUAGUUGGUGAGGUAAAGGCUCACCAAGGCGACGAUCAGUAGCUGGUCUGAGAGGAUGAUCAGCCACACUGGGACUGAGACACGGCCCAGACUCCUACGGGAGGCAGCAGUGGGGAAUAUUGGACAAUGGGCGCAAGCCUGAUCCAGCCAUGCCGCGUGAGUGAUGAAGGCCCUAGGGUUGUAAAGCUCUUUUGUGCGGGAAGAUAAUGACGGUACCGCAAGAAUAAGCCCCGGCUAACUUCGUG
rnacentral:rRNA from 1 species